rnacentral:rRNA from 1 species
CAGUCGCCGCGGUAAUACGUAGGGUGCAAGCGUUAAUCGGAAUUACUGGGCGUAAAGCGUGCGCAGGCGGUUAUAUAAGACAGAUGUAAAAUCCCCGGGCUCAACCUGGGAACUGCAUUUGUGACUGUAUAGCUAGAGUACGGCAGAGGGGGAUGGAAUUCCGCGUGUAGCAGUGAAAUGCGUAGAUAUGCGGAGGAACACCGAUGGCGAAGGCAAUCCCCUGGGCCUGUACUGACGCUCAUGCACGAAAGCGUGGGGAGCAAACAGGAUUAGAUACCCCUGUAGUCCCUGUCUCUUAUAC